rnacentral:lncRNA from 1 species
GUGUGUGCUUGUGAUGUCUUUGUUUGUCAGAGUCCUUAAUGGGAAAGAAAAAAAAAACACUGGCAUUUGUUUUUUGUUGUUGAUUUGUUUGAAAAUUUCCUUGGAAAGGCUUGCAUAGACUUAUGUGAAAGGGCGGAGAUGGUCUCCCCCCAUUUUGGCUCUUGCAAAUGGCUGGGGGUUAUUUUGGAAGUCGUUCAGAAGCUGAGAGGUAGUGUGUGGGUAGAUCUCGUGAAUUGUCCAAAUUCAUUAAAUGAAACUAUCUGCUGCUCAAGGAAACAGUCUUGGUGGCUGAAUCCCAUCAAAAACAGCCUUUCCCACCCCCAGACCUCCCAGGCUUCCCCUUAGCUGAAACAGGCUGUAACCUCUAGUUGGCUAAAUGAACAUGGGAGACCAAGACCCUACUGGAGAAGAGUGAGGUUGAAAGCCCACAAAGAAGUUCCACAUUUCCCCCAAUCCCAGGCCAGAGGAUACCUACCAGGAGAAGUCAGGAAGGGUUCCAGCUCUGGAGACACUGUACUUUUGACUAUUGGUCCAGCUGUGCUCUGCCAUCAGGAGUCAGGGCUGGGAGGACCUUCUCAUCCCACUCCAGGGCCCAAAUUUUCUGCCUCACCAUUUAAAGCUCUCCUUUUUGUUUUCACUGUGCUUGCCUCCUUGGUGCCUACUAGAGAGAAGGAAAUACUUGUCCCUUCCAGUUGCUGGAGGCCCGAGAACCCCGGGUAGUGGGGAGGGUGGGGCAGAGACACAGAGAGUGACAUUGAACCAGCUGUCACUGUUUCUUCUGUGAGGUGCCUGAGCUAAUCGGGAACCAGAGUCCUUUCCCUCGCUUCCUCCUUCAGCCUCAGAUUUUCCAGGCCCUCCUUCCUGUCCUUGUUCCGGUGCCUGUUCUGAGGCUCUGGGAGUGGCCCUUUCCACAGUCUCUUACUUUCUAGCUGGCUUAGGUCAACAUAGAGCCUUCUGAGAGCUGCUGAGACUACUCUAGUAUUCCUCCUCCUGGCCUUUCCAUGGGGUCUCUAGGGCUUGCUACCCAGCCUGUCUGGCUGCUUUACAGCAUGCUCUUGGUAAGCCCACCAUUUCCUCAGCUAGAGGGCAAGACCUACCUACCUUGUAGUUCUUGGUGCCAGCAGCCUGGGAGAGGAUGGCACAACCACUGCCAGCCACCGAAGCUGAUUGCGUGUUUGUCCGCGCAUCGUUUGCAUGCCUGCUGACCUUUUGAAACCAGAAGAGGGUGUUGGAGUCCCUGGAAUUUAAGUUACAGAAGGUUGUGAGCCACCAAGUGGGUGUCGGGAAGUGGAAACGAGUCUGGAAGAGCAGCCACUGAGCCACUCUAGUCCAUGCAGUUUGCAUCUUGAACGGCCCUGCAAAGUACUGAAGACUUGGUCCCCAGAUGAUGUCACUAGGAAGGGCUUUGGCACCUUCCUAGUUCAAGGAGAGCCUACUGCAGAACCCAGAGAAUGGAACGAGUAAAUGUUUAUGCAUAUGGACUUAGCGUUCACAGUACACCGUGAGCCUAUGUUUAUGCAUAUGGACUUAGCGUUCACAGUACACCGUGAGCCUUUGAAUUCCCAGAAGGACACGCUAUCCCUGGAACUGAGAACCUGACUCAGGAGUGGCACGCUGUGGACAAGCAGUAAGUGCUCUCGGUGGACCAUCAAAGUGAUACCAGCUACUGCAGGGGCAUGCCUGUCUACCCAUGGUGGUGACACCUCAGGGGACACUAACCGGUCUAUGCCCUGUGGCUCCAGAGGAGGAAAACAGUGACACAGCAGAAGUCAGUGGGAAUCGAUGGAGCUCUGAAGCCUGGCUCCACAUGGUCGGCCUUCUGCUCUCUGCAGUGUGACUUUGAAGCAAGUUAUUCCAACUGAGUCUCACUUCUUCCUCUCCACAGGGAGACGUCAUUCCAACCUGACAGACUGUCAUGAGAAUUAAGUGAAGAAAUCUGGAGCAGUAGGUCCAGGACCCUGCACACACAUCUCGUUAGAAUUGUCAUGUGCAGGGUCUUGGAAAAUAGCCAAGUGUUCAUGGUUUUCUUCUUGGAUCCUCACCGUAAUCUCAGGAGGCAGGCAGGUCCGACCAGAAGAAUUAAAGUCAUUUAAGAUUAUGUGGAUGAUCAUCAUGGGGGCUGGAAUCCGUCUUGCAGGUGUGUGCUGGAGUGUAAACAGCUGGAGUGUAAACAGCUGGAGGCCUGAGCUUGGGUUGAAUUCCUAUCUUUGCUCUGCCAUGAGCUAGCCCUGUGCUCCUGUGCAGAUCCUGUCUGUGUGCAUCAUGGGUAUUUCCUGUCUUACAGGUCAGUUGUGAGGAGUGGAUGAGCUAGUGCUAAUUAGACAUCCAGCAGAGCAUCCAGUGGGUGCUCAAUAAACGUUCAUGCCCAGGCUCAUGCCACUUGCUGUCUUGCUGUUGGGCCGUGUGUUGGUGGUCAUUUCUGUGGGGCGUUAUACUCCAUCUGUGCCACACCCACUCCAGUAGAGUCUGUGUGACCUGAAGCUCUUGUGGUUCGUUUCUGUCCAGAACAGAGGCCUCCUGGAGUUCCUGGCCGUCUCCCUGCAAAAAGAUAACGACUAGGGUCUAUGCUUGCGGUGGAGGUGCCUUCUGUGUUCUAGCCUUGGUGAUCUUAGCAACUUUAAGCCUGUCAACAAUAUCUGAUUUUAAGAACAUAGCAGUGUGGGAAGAUGGUCAUGUACCUUUAGAUGUCUCAGGAACUGAAAGUUCGGAGACGGAAACGUCUCACACCAUCAUGAUCCUGAUAAACUCAACGGCCGCGAUGAAUUCAACUGCUGUACCCAUUAGCUCCCAGCAAAUAGGAGAGAAAUUAAUUGCAGCUACUAACAAUAUGACUGUUCCAGAAAAGCCUUUCCCCCGUUUUGGAAAAGUUUUGUUUAGCAUGAUUCAAAACAGUAAUGAUUCUUUUAAAAAGAUCAUAGACAAGUUCCAACAAGUUGAACAAAUUUAUCAAGAGUUAACCCUGUUUCCACUGUAGAUCUCUGUGAGAGUGGAAGUGAUGGCCCUUGUACCAGCUAUCAGUCAGGGAAGAAAGCAAAGGGGUCAUCUCUGUGCCUGCACCAAAUCUGCUAGAGAGGGGUGUGUGUGUGUGUGUGUGUGUGUGUGUGUGUGUGUGAGAGAGAGAGAGAGAGACAGACAGACAGACAGACAGACAGACAGACAGAGAACGUGUACAUGUGCAUAGGUGUGUAUGGUGUAGUUUCAUAGUUUUCCAAACCUGGCUUUUUCUGUCUACAUCAUUUUCUAAGAUAUUUCGGUUGUUCAGUGUGUGUCCCUGUGGUCAUCACUAUUGACUUUUUUGACUUAAUCCUGCUGUUGGUUUUGACAGAUCUUUUAAUACCAUUAUAGCUGCAUUUCCUCUUACAGAUGUUUAUUAUGGGCCAGGUGCACAUGACUUUUGUUUUGUGGCUGUUGAAUUUUUGCGUUUCAGACCUGCAGUUAUCAAAUGAGCUGUUCUCCAUCUCUCCUGACUACCUUUUCAGGAGAGAGGGAAUUAGUAGAGAAAGAGCAUAUGGUGGGAAUAAGGUGGUCUUUCUUUUUUAAAAUAAAUUUUAAUGUAUUGUUGUUGUUGUGUGUUAUGUAUAUAGUGUGGUGUGUGUGCGCGCGCGUGUGUGUGUGUGUGUGUGUGUGUGUGUGUGUGUGUGUGU